AUUGAACGCUGGCGGCAGGCCUAACACAUGCAAGUCGAGCGGAUGAAGGGAGCUUGCUCCUGGAUUCAGCGGCGGACGGGUGAGUAAUGCCUAGGAAUCUGCCUGGUAGUGGGGGCUAACGUCCGGAAACGGGCGCUAAUACCGCAUACGUCCUGAGGGAGAAAGUGGGGGAUCUUCGGACCUCACGCUAUCAGAUGAGCCUAGGUCGGAUUAGCUAGUUGGUGGGGUAAAGGCCUACCAAGGCGACGAUCCGUAACUGGUCUGAGAGGAUGAUCAGUCACACUGGGACUGAGACACGGUCCAGACUCCUACGGGAGGCAGCAGUGGGGAAUAUUGGACAAUGGGCGAAAGCCUGAUCCAGCCAUGCCGCGUGUGUGAAGAAGGUCUUCGGAUUGUAAAGCACUUUAAGUUGGGAGGAAGGGCAGUAAGUUAAUACCUUGCUGUUUUGACGUUACCAACAGAAUAAGCACCGGCUAACUUCGUG
rnacentral:rRNA from 1 species